AAUGAACGCUGGCGGCAGGCCUAACACAUGCAAGUCGAACGGAUCCUUCGGGAUUAGUGGCGGACGGGUGAGUAACGCGUGGGAACAUACCCUUUGGUACGGAAUAGCCUCGGGAAACUGGGUGUAAUACCGUAUGUGGUCGAGAGACGAAAGAUUUAUCGCCAAAGGAUUGGCCCGCGUUGGAUUAGGUAGUUGGUGGGGUAAUGGCCUACCAAGCCGACGAUCCAUAGCUGGUUUGAGAGGGUGAUCAGCCACACUGGGACUGAGACACGGCCCAGACUCCUACGGGAGGCAGCAGUGGGGAAUCUUUGACAAUGGGGGAAACCCUGAUCUAGCCAUGCCGCGUGAUCGAUGAAGGCCUUAGGGUUGUAAAGAUCUUUCAGGUGGGAAGAUAAUGACUGUACCACCAGAAGAAGCCCCGGCUAACUCCGUGCCAGCCGCCGCCGUAA
rnacentral:rRNA from 1 species